CUGCGGCCGGUUUCAUUCGUAUUUUGACGCAGUGGGCUUCGCUCAAAUAGAAGCCCCAAAACACUUGGAAAAAAAAGUGUAUCAUAAUUCGUAACUGUGUGACGGAAAGAAGAAAUGGCGGCUGAAGGUACUGGUGGUCCUCCGCCCGGAAUGCAGCCCCAGGAGCCGGAGGUGGGGCCCGAUGGGGAAAUCAUCGGAGGGCCGCGCACAAUGCAGCAGAUUGCGGCUCAGAGACGAUUGCAGCAACAACAGGCGCAAGUUGAAGAGGUGGUUGAUAUUAUGAAGGCAAACGUUGAGAAAGUCAUUGAUAGAGACGUGAAACUCUCGGAACUGGAUGACAGAGCAGAUGCACUGCAACAAGGGGCAUCGCAGUUCGAGCAACAAGCAAAGAGUUUAAAGAACAAGUUCUGGCUACAAAAUCUUAAGAUGAUGAUAAUAAUGGGUGUGAUUGGAAUCGUUAUAAUAGGACUGCUGUUUGGUGAUAACAUUAAACAAAUGUUUGGUUAGUUCGAUACCGAGGCACACCAACUAUGACUGGCGUAUCGGCGAUGGUGACAGUCAAUAGCACCUUGCCACCUAUUCAUUAAUAAUUGAAAAUAUAUGUAAUAACUUCUUCAUGACAUCCGCUGGAUUCCACUUCAGAUGUGAAGAUAAUAGCUGCAUUAAUCCCUCUACACGCGCUACUACUAUAGGUAUAUUGAGUUAUAAUUGUAUCUAUCACUUAUAUGUAUAUAAUAGAAAACUAUAAAUACUAAGAAUCUUUAAAGCAUAACGCGUGUAAAAUAGAACAAAGUAGAUCCUUACCUAAAACCUUCGUAAAAUAUGCCUUAAUAAGAUUAAAAGCUUGAAAGGAAACUAGUCAAACUGUUUGAAUUAAUAAACUUGAUUUUGAAAUUUGUGUGUAAGUCAAGAAAAUUUCUUAAUAAUAAAUAAUACAAUAUGGUUAUUAUAAUUAUAGACCUAAUACCUAAAGGGAAAUUUGUAGAAAAUUUAAAAUUCCCUGCUUUUUAUUGUAAUACAUAAAUAGAGAGAAUACUUGACACGACUAGCUCAGCUAUGUCUAUUAGUUUGCGUGCCUUUUUAAAAUACUAUUUAUAAAUACUCUCAUAUUGACGAUUUUAAUUGUCAUUUAAUGGUGCAUAACCAAUAUCUAUUAUAAUGUCUCUACUGUAUCAUAGUACUACUAAAAUUUGUUUACUAAUUGGACUAAUUCUGUCCUUAUAUUAACCAGGUAGAAAGCGCACUUGCCGUUUGGAACCGCAGCGGCAGUGAGGUGUAGAAUAAACUGUAUUUGCACUGUGCCGCUAUGGAAGAUAAUUCGAACUUCAAACUUGAAUAUAAUUUAUUUAUUUAUUUAAAUUUAACUUAAAUAAUAUCAAACUCCAAUAAAUAUGAGUGAAUCUUUAAUAAAACGUAACACGUACAAUGUCUUGUCGCUGUUGUGACGAAUGGCAAUUGUGUUUUAAAGUUUACUAAAUCUUUCAAAUUGUAUUAUAAAAUGGCAUAUUACCAUACUUAGAUAUGCUCAUACUUAGAUAGGUAUAUAAUCAACGAGCUCUUCCUAUUGUAGUGGAAUCUGUCUGAUAGAUAAAGAUAAUAUUAAAAUAGUUAUUAUUGAAGUAGUAAGUUAACGUUUCCGUUCUCUUAGUUUUCGAUUGCAUUAUUCCAACGUUAAUUUGAAUAUGCGCUAGCAACACCAAAUUACAGUAGAAGUAUACCAUUAUAACAUGUGGAAUUGACUAAGGUUCAAUAGUUAUAUAAGUAUUUAGUAUUAUUAUUCGUCGUAUAUCAACCAACUCGCAGAGUAACGAAAAAGUAAAGUUGUCACAAAUUUACAAAUCAAUCUUGUGCUUUUCAUAAACUUAAAUAUGAAAUUAAAAACUAAAAUUGUGUUGUUCAACUUCUGCAGCUUUAUAGAAAGGCAAUAUUUUUAAUCUUGUCACAUUAAUAUAGUUGCAAAAUUGCGCACAAUUCAAGUACUCUAUUUCUCAGCUCAUAUUUUACAAUCUUACGCUAAAUUUGUCGUUACGUUUAUUUGUUAUGAGAGUCAAUUAUUUGCUGUAUAGUUACUAAACCAAUUUAUCAGAGCUUUAAUAUUUUACUUAGUAUUUAGUGUUAAUUGACAUGCGAAUUACUGCUUUAAUUUAUAAAUAACAAUGCUAAUUAUUAAUUGUGCCGUAAUAAUUCUUGUGUUUAACGAAAAGGUAAAGAAGGAAUUAUUCGUACUUACAUUUUUUAUGGACGAUCAAAGUAUUUUUCACUACACUAGUAUUUAAUUGAUAAAACCAUAUGUUCCAGAACUUAAAAUUAAAACUCAGACAAAAAUAUUAAUUUUACAACAUUUCAGACAAAAUUUAUUUUAAAAUGAUUGUUAUCAAUUAAUAUGACACCAAAGACAACCAAAUGUAUUCAAUUCGUGAGAAAAAGAUUAGAAAUAACGCGCUAAGAAUCGUAAAUGAUGAAAGAAGUACUCAAAAGUGAUAAUUUAAGUAGAUAAUUUAUAAAAAGACGAAGGAAUGGAGAAGUAUGACAACAAACUUAUUGUAAAUGUUCAAUUUUGAGAAAAGUAUCGAUACUAUCAACACUGAAUGCUGUUUCCAUCUCAAGUUGUGCUAAAGAAUUUUAUAG